GGCGACAUGGCCUAGUGGUAAAGUAGAGGACUGCAAAACCUUUUUUUCCCCAGUUCAAAUCCGGGUGUCCCCU
rnacentral:tRNA from 1 species